UACGUUUAAUUUCACUGUGCA
rnacentral:siRNA from 1 species